UGCGCAGGCGGACCUAUUAGUCAGUGGUGAAAUCCCGGGGCUCAACUCCGGAACUGCCAUUGAUACUGUAGGUCUUGAGUUUGGUUGAAGUGGGCGGAAUGUAGCAUGUAGCGGUGAAAUGCAUAGAUAUGCUACAGAACACCGAUCGCGAAGGCAGCUCACUAAACCAAUACUGACGCUCAGGCACGAAAGCGUGGGUAGCGAACAGGAUUAGAUACCCUGGUAGUCC
rnacentral:rRNA from 1 species